AGUGAACGCUGGCGGCAGGCCUAACACAUGCAAGUCGAACGGCAGCACGGCAGUAGCAAUACUGUGGGUGGCGAGUGGCGGACGGGUGAGGAAUACAUCGGGAUCUACCCUGUUGUGGGGGAUAACGUAGGGAAACUUACGCUAAUACCGCAUAAGAACUGAGGUUGAAAGCGGCGGACCGCAAGGCGUCGCGCGAUUGGAUGAACCGAUGUCCGAUUAGCUAGUUGGCGGGGUAAAGGCCCACCAAGGCGACGAUCGGUAGCUGGUCUGAGAGGACGAACAGUCACACUGGAACUGAGACACGGUCCAGACUCCUACGGGAGGCAGCAGUGAGGAAUAUUGCACAAUGGGAGGAAUCCUGAUGCAGCGACGCCGCGUGCGGGAUGAAGGGGCUUAGCCUCGUAAACCGCUGUCGGAGGGGACGAAUGGUACAUUUGAUGUACUGAGACGGUACCCUCAAAGGAAGGAUCGGCUAACUACGUGCCAGCAGCCG
rnacentral:rRNA from 1 species